AUGCUGGGGUCUGGCCUAUGCCUAUUGAGCUGCAAUCGAUGCUACUAUAAACCUAGUGACAUACCCUGCGGCCACUCCAAGUCCUGUGACAGGCCCAAUGGUAACUCUAACCCCUGCAGCCACUCCAACCCCUACGCUGGACCCUGCAGCCUCUCCAGCCCCUGCAGCCUCUCCAGCUCCUGUGGCCACUCCAGCCCCUGCGGCCAUUCCAACCCCUGUGAUGGGCCCAGUGGUCAUUCCAGCUCCUGUGACGGGCCCAGCGGUUGUUCCAACACCUAUGACAGGCCCAGCGGUCGUUCCAGCUCCUGUGACAGGCCCAGCAGUUGUUCCAACCCCUGUGGCAGGCCCUGUGGCUGGGUCAGAGAAACGAGCUGUAGCAGUGUAAGUUGCCCCUGUAGGCAAGGUGAAAAAAGGUUUAGGGAGUCAGAUCGUUUAGAACACAGAGAAGCUCCUGCUAAGACUAAGCAUGGAGAAGACGAGGCCGGCCCAUCAGAGGAACAGGAGGAUGAAGAUGAAGAUGUCACAAAACCAGCAGUAACUACCCAAACCCUAUACCAGCGUGAGCUACGAGAUGUGCGAAAAGAUUUUGGUCGCUGCAUAGGUGAGCAGCUUGUCACCUGGCUGCUCUGGUGCUGGGAUGCCGGAGCCAAUUGUCUGGAAUUAGAGGGCAGUGAAGCCAGGCGCCUGGGAUCCCUUGCUAGAGAUGCAGGCAUUGACAAAGCAAUUGGAGAUGGAGCAAGAUCUCACAGCCUCUGGAGGCGUCUCCUGUCAGCUGUGAAGGAAAUGCAUCCCUUCAAGGAAGAACUUGUAUGUCUACCAGGCAAGUGGACCACUAUAGAGAAGGGAAUCCAGUACCUGAGGGAAUUAGCCGUACGGGAGGUGACUUACAGAGACCUAGACAACGAACAAAUAUCCACAGAUCCAGAUGAAGUCCAGUGUACACGACCCAUGUGGCGGAAGUUUGUACGGAGUGCACCAUCAUCAUAUGCCAGCUCAUUGGCAGUAAUGACCUGGAAAGAGGAUGAGGAACCCACAGUGGAUGAAGUGGCUAAACAACUCCGGCAGUACGAAGAAAGUCUCUCCUCUUCCCUACAGGCCUGCAUCUCGGCUGUGGAGAAACUUUCUGAAGAGUUCUACCAACCUAAAGAGAGUUUAUUUUCCUCCCCACCUGUACAAACCAGUGUCUCAGCUAUUAGGGGUAAGCGUCCAUCUGUGCAAGGAAGAUAA
rnacentral:lncRNA from 1 species